ensembl:snRNA U7 U7 small nuclear RNA
AAAAGAAUACGGCUUUUUUAGAAUUUGUCUAGGAGGUUUUCUGGUUUUCACCAGAACCAACCCUU